UUUUCUUUCAUGUAAUUAUUUAGAAGUGUUCUUUAACUGAUGUGGGAACAGAAGAUACUGAAGACAAACAUUGAGGCCUCGUUUUUUGUUUUUUGAAAGGCAAUAUUUAUCCAAAUACGUGCUUAGGCACAGAAUGUUUAUAGCUCAGCUUGCAGCAUUGCUCUGUGUGCCGCAUCGCACCAGCAGAAGAUUGGGCCAUGGUUUAUCUGUUUUCUCAUGUAGGAAAUGCUAAGAUGCUUCUGAUUUCUUGGCGUUCCAUCUGGACUUCUACCUUUUAUGCCUCAUCACCUUGAUUUGGAGUUGUGACGAAUCACAUUGCCAUGGGAUUUAUUUCCUUUAGCUAGGAAGGGGAGCUGAUCCUGGCUUGGAGGGAGGCCAGACGUCAGCUCCCAUAAGGGAUGACUCACCCCCGAGAGCGUCAAUGCUCAGGAGCUCCGAGCCCCUCGCAGUCUCAAACGCGGUUACCCUUGCAGUAUUUCGGUGUGACAGGGAGAUGCUCCCCUUCUCAUUUAAUAGAUGAUGAACUGAAAAUCAGGGGCUGAUUUAUUUGCGUGUGCUUUGGGUCAUUAAACAUAUAACUUUCCAGUGCAUUUUGUAGUAGAAAACUGAGAAGAAAAAUGUGAAAGAUUUGAUGUUUUGGAGCCGUUAAAACUAGGUGUCUAGCUAAUUUUACUGGACCCAAAAUUGCUUUUGGAGUAGCCUGUCCUUUGCUCUGCAGGUUAUUGAGGAAACUAUUUACAGCACAGACUGUGUGACCAAGUAAUUUUGAGUGCUUGCAAAAAUGAAGUGACUCUGAAGUCGGUGUACUGCCUUGCAAGCACGCAGAUCGAGCAACAUGAGAAAAUCUGCACUGACAAUUUGUGGGUUUUUUUCCAGUAGAUAAAUAAAGAUUCAGUGUCUUAUGGUGAAUCCAGUCCCGUGGUACAUCACGAAGCUGCAAACCCAGCAGUGCCUAUUGAGAGAAACGAUGUGGGACCGGGAGUCAUCUGUCCCGGGGAAGGGAGGCACUGCUCCAGCCAGCUGCUGCCGAAUAAAUAACUCUGAAACCGUGGCUUUGUAGUCAGUGGAGAGAGCAGGAUCUUCAUGGGGCAGCUCAGAGCAUGUAAGCUAGUCUGCUGUUCCCAGUUAAACUGGGCAGCUGACCUGGGGAGUGUGAAGAGCUCCCUUUAUACCUCUCUUUAUAAAGCAGUAGGAGAUCCUUUUUGCAUGAGUGGACCUGAAGUGGGUUAAGGUUUUGGAUUUUAUGGAUGCAUGAAUGGAAGAUGAGUGUAGAAGUGACUGUAUUUACAUACAUGAACUCGCCAACCAAAAGUGUGACCUUUUUUUUUAAAGAAAACAUAAACUGCUGGGCUUUCAUAGCAACUCUGUUGUGAGUGGAGGGAAAUGACGUCCCUGAGAAAGUGUUGCUGGUGUUUAGCAUUUCCGUAGCACCUCCCUAUUGAGCUAAUAACCAUUUUUUUAGACUCUUCAGACAGAAGUCUCUGCUUGAGGUGCUUUGGUAUGCUUGAGAAAUAAGUUGGCCAAGGAAUGAGUGAAGAACUGCAGAGCCAGAGGGGAUCUUUGUUUUCUAGUGAGUGUGCAAGGAGACUGAGAAGUUUGAAUUUUUAUCUGCUGAGAACACUGCUUAGGAGACCUCGGUGUGCUUCUGGGUGCCUAUCAAGCAAGGCUGUAGACUUGGUGAUAAGCUUCCCUUCUUUAGGGGGAGACUUGUAAUUACUGCUAAAGAAUCACUAUAAGAUGGAUUUUUCCUUUUGUACGCUAGAGAAAUACGUCUUCCCCUGGGAGUUGUUCCCAUCAAGCCAAAGCGUUGACUUGAUCGCUGAUGCAGCUGCCUUUGCUCUUUUGUGAGGACAGUGAACCAAGGUGUAAAAUACACAUGCAAAUGAGAAUUGCUGCUCCCCAUCAUUUUGCUCCUCUCACCUGACCUGUGAGUCAUUAGAGGCGCUGGGCAUAUUUAACUGCCAUUGUGACUCACCACUUAACUCCGAGGGCUGAGCACCUCAUCCCGGAGCCAGGAUCUGACUUUUAAUUAGUAGAUGCGGCCAAAGGAGAACUUGCCUGUGCUGAGAAAGGCAGGUGUCAGCAAGGUUCCCUGAGGCUACGUGCCCGUGCAGCUCCUUGGACUGCAACUUCUCUUAGUGUAUUUAAAAAUACAGAAAUUAUUAAUUUUUUUUAUUUUAUUUGAACAGUAUCACGCGUUAUCUGAUGCUUGAUCUGGUUGUAGAUCACAUUGUCAAUGGCAAAGAAAGAAGGGGAUAAAAUUGCCAGGACCUCGUGUUCUGCAAGUCUUGUGCCUGAUAUUUAUGUGACGAUAUUCAGGUGUACAGCAGACAUAACUGUUUCCAUAAUAGGCCCAUAAUUCAAGACUGCUUUGGCUUUGCAUCCACUCAUCAGUCACUAGUCUCUUAAAAGGCUCAUUUUCCACUUGCAUCAUGCGUUGAAGCCCAGAACGUGCAGAAGUAAGUAAGCGGCCAGGUUUGAUACCUCAUGGAGAAACUGCAGCUCCUAAUACCAGAUGACACCGUGAGACAGCCGUUUUCUUAGCCUUGUCUUCAAUUGCUUGAGCCAAGUGUCCUUUUGUGCUUCCACCAUUAGCUGUGUCUUCUGCUGAGCUGGUGAGCAGGCAGCAGUGCUUCCCGCUGCCACAAACGUUUUCAUUAUGCACCAGGAAGUUUCCUUUGGGUAUCCCAAAAGCUGUAUUAAUCUUUUGGCCAGCGGUAAGCGGGUAGAUCCAGCUGUUUCAGAGCCUUCACUGAAAGAGAGUACAUGGGUUUUAAAUAACCACUGCUUAAGGCUGGAUUAUUGUGUGUCCGGUUUAAGACCUCUUAACCCAUCCGAGGAAGGAAAAAAGCCCUGAGCGCUGGCAGUUUCGGCAGCAGUUGGUUUGAUAUGUGGAGCUCCUGGUGCUUUUAAAACCCAGCUGAUAAUCACUCUUCUUGAACAUGCCAGAUCAGAGCAACCCAUGAAAGAUGUGUUUUGUGUGGUUAUCAGAUGAUGUGUUUUCUGGAAAGGUCGUUACAUUCUUGUCUCAGAUACUUAUGUUAGAUCUCAUGUAUCAGUAAUUCUAAUAGAAGCUGCAGUUUCUCCACAAGAAAUACGGUGAUCAUGAAGGCUGACAGCUAAGCAACUCCUAAUUUUGCUUUUCA